CAGCAGCCACGGGAAUACGUAGGUGGCAAGCGUUGUCCGGAAUUAUUGGGCGUAAAGGGCUCGCAGGCGGUUUCUUAAGUCUGAUGUGAAAGCCCCCGGCUCAACCGGGGAGGGUCAUUGGAAACUGGGAAACUUGAGUGCAGAAGAGGAGAGUGGAAUUCCACGUGUAGCGGUGAAAUGCGUAGAGAUGUGGGGGAACACCAGUGGCGAAGGCGACUCUCUGGUCUGUAACUGACGCUGAGGAGCGAAAGCGUGGGGAGCGAACAGGAUUAGAUACCCGCGUAGUCCCUGUCUCUUAUAC
rnacentral:rRNA from 1 species